CUUGUACUCCCUCCGUUCGAAAAUACUUGUCAUUGAAAUGGAUGUAUCUAGAUGUAUUUUAGUUCUAGACACAUCCAUUUUGAUGACAAGUAAUUUCGGACGGAGGGAGUACUUG
rnacentral:pre_miRNA from 1 species